CACCAAAAGCUAUUUUAUAUGGUCUAAUUUUUUUUCUCUUUCCUAUAUCCUGUACACAACAUGGUGAAAUAAAGAUUGAAUAAUUGUAAUCAAAUUAUGUUCUUAUUCACACAUUAAUAUGCAUAACUAAAUGCAUGACCCGUAGGACGUAAUCACCUUCUUUUUUGAAGUAACGUCUGUAUCAUAUAAGAUAAGUUAACACAAGUAACAUUAAUUUAUCUUCAUGUCUGUAGUCCUAUUCUAAAAAGUAUCACCCAAAAAUACAAUUAAUGAAAUAAUUCUUUGCAAAUGAUAUAAUUUAUUCAUUUCAUGGGUCAAAGUUCUAAAAAGCAAAAAAUUCACAUUUCGAAUGUUUUCCUUGCAUAACUUUCAUAGCAGUGAAGGAAAAAAAACAACAAAGGUACAAAACAAUUUUACAUUUAAGAAGCAUUCAUUGCAUGCCAAGAACUUUAUGCAACACCUGGAUGCUUUGACAUAUAAAUGAUUCCCUUUCCUAAUCACAUUUAAGUAAUAAUUAUAACUGGACUAAUGUGUGCAUAGAGAUGAUCAAAACAAUUACAAUAUGCCUUAAGACUGAAAGUAAGACUUUAAUACCAGUUUAGGGAAAUAAACAUUUCACUAUGUUGUGUUCAUAACAUUAGCCCACUAAUGUCAAUAUUUUAUAUAAUAAUUAUUAUAACUGCUCUUUACAAUUCAUAAUUCACAUAUAUGCCAGCAUGGCGUGUCUCUUGAUAGACCUACAGCUCAAGCUAAUUACUACAGAUAAGGAGAAAACAGUUUAUAUGUUGACCAAAGCAUUUCAAACUGUGGAGUCAAGUAACAUACACGCAAAAGUUUCAUAUUAAAAGAUUAGCUCUUAAUAUACAGACAGUAUAAAGGCUUGACAGUGUUCACAACAAAUAGUCAAUAUUUCAUAAACACAUAUAUUUAACAAUGUAGUAACACAUUUGAAUCAAGUUGGGAAAACAAAAAUAUUAACACCUAUGUAUUUAUUUGUAGCAAUGAUAAAAUGAAAGAAAAAAAAUUAAAUUAAAAAAACAAAUAUAACCUUGUGUAUGUAGGUUUCUUUUUUUUUUUUUUUUUUUUUUUU